AGUCGAACGGUAACAGGAAGCAGCUUGCUGCUUUGCUGACGAGUGGCGGACGGCUUUGUAAUGUCUGGGAAACUGCCUGAUGGAGGGGGAUAACUACUGGAAACGGUAGCUAAUACCGCAUAACGUCGCAAGACCAAAGAGGGGGACCUUCGGGCCUCUUGCCAUCGGAUGUGCCCAGAUGGGAUUAGCUAGUAGGUGGGGUAACGGCUCACCUAGGCGACGAUCCCUAGCUGGUCUGAGAGGAUGACCAGCCACACUGGAACUGAGACACGGUCCAGACUCCUACGGGAGGCAGCAGUGGGGAAUAUUGCACAAUGGGCGCAAGCCUGAUGCAGCCAUGCCGCGUGUAUGAAGAAGGCCUUCGGGUUGUAAAGUACUUUCAGCGGGGAGGAAGGCGAUGAGGUUAAUAACCUCGUCGAUUGACGUUACCCGCAAAAGAAGCACCGGCUAACUCCGUGCCAGCAGCCGCGGUAAUACGGAGGGUGCAAGCGUUAAUCGGAAUUACUGGGCGUAAAGCGCACGCAGGCGGUCUGUCAAGUCGGAUGUGAAAUCCCCGGGCUCAACCUGGGAACUGCAUUCGAAACUGGCAGGCUAGAGUCUUGUAGAGGGGGGUAGAAUUCCAGGUGUAGCGGUGAAAUGCGUAGAGAUCUGGAGGAAUACCGGUGGCGAAGGCGGCCCCCUGGACAAAGACUGACGCUCAGGUGCGAAAGCGUGGGGGAGCAAACAGGAUUAGAUACCCUGGUAGUCCACGCCGUAAACGAUGUCGACUUGGAGGUUGUGCCCUUGANGCGUGGCUUCCGGAGCUAACGCGUUAAGUCGACCGCCUGGGGGAGUACGGCCGCAAGGUUAAAACUCAAAUGAAUUGACGG
rnacentral:rRNA from 1 species